rnacentral:rRNA from 1 species
AGGAUAAACGCUGGCGGCGUGCCUAACACAUGCAAGUCGAACGCCCUUGAGCAAUCAAGGGAGUGGCGGACGGGUGAGUAACACGUGGGUACCUACCCCAAGGUGAGGAAUACCGGCGAGAAAUCGCCGACAAUACCGCAUACGUUUCGCAAGAAACAAAGCUCGCAAGAGCGCCAUGGGAAGGGCCUGCGGCCGAUUAGCUGGUUGGUGAGGUAAAAGCUCACCAAGGCGACGAUCGGUAGCUGGUCUGAGAGGAUGAUCAGCCACACUGGGAUUGAGAACGGCCCAGACUCCUACGGGGGGCAGCAGUGAGGAAUUUUCGUCAAUGGGGGCAACCCUGAACGAGCAACGCCGCGUGCAGGAAGAAGGUUUUCGGAUCGUAAACUGCUUUUCUCUGGGACGAGAACGGACGGUACCAGAGGAAUCAGCCCCGGCUAACUACGCGCCAGCAGCCGC